CCUACGGGGGGCUGCAGUGGGGAAUAUUGGACAAUGGGGGGAACCCUGAUCCAGCCAUGCCGCGUGUGUGAAGAAGGCCCUCGGGUUGUAAAGCACUUUCAGUGAGGAAGAACGCCUGGUGGUUAAUACCCAUCAGGAAAGACAUCACUCACAGAAGAAGCACCGGCUAACUCCGUGCCAACAGCCGCGGUAAUACGGAGGGUGCGAGCGUUAAUCGGAAUUACUGGGCGUAAAGCGCGCGUAGGUGGCUUGAUAAGCCGGUUGUGAAAGCCCCGGGCUCAACCUGGGAACGGCAUCCGGAACUGUCAAGCUAGAGUGCAGGAGAGGAAGGUAGAAUUCCCGGUGUAGCGGUGAAAUGCGUAGAGAUCGGGAGGAAUACCAGUGGCGAAGGCGGCCUUCUGGACUGACACUGACACUGAGGUGCGAAAGCGUGGGUAGCAAACAGGAUUAGAUACCCUUGUAGUC
rnacentral:rRNA from 1 species